GCGCCCGUAGCUCAGUGGAUAGAGCAGCCGCCUUCUAAGCGGUAGGUCGGGGGUUCGAAUCCUCCCGGGCGCACCA
rnacentral:tRNA from 1 species